rnacentral:lncRNA from 1 species
UUAGUCACACUCAUGGUCACGCACACACUAGGUCCCACGUAGUCUCCCGCGAACAAACGGUUCCGGUCCCACGUGCAGACCUUACGGCACCCCAGGACCGCGCAGAGCCAAGGAAGACGCGCGGCCAAACCAGACCCACACGGACACGGAUACUCAGGCGCCCCAACACUCGGGCUCAGACUCUCCCUGGUCCUCACGGCUGGCCCGCGGGGAGCACCCGGACGCCCCAUCUGGUGCCCUGCCCGCCCCACCGCACGGGCCAACGUCGCCGGUAACCGCUCCCCCUCCCCGAGACAGCCGCCACAUCACGGAGAUGAUCAGCCGCAGUGGCGUCUGGGAAGCGUAGCUCGGGCCGGGGAGGGCGAGAAACGCUCCGAGCGCAGGGUCCUGGGGGACGGCCCCGCCCCGUCCCACUGUCCAGCGGGACGCGCCAAAGCGGCUGCUUUCCCCGAGAGGGGAUUUGGGGCGAGGGGAGGAGCGGAGGGCACCCAGUCAGAGGCGGAAAGGAAAAGGCUCCAUAGGGUUUCUAAGGACCUGAUGUCCACCAGCAAGCUCCAGGGCGCCGUCCUAGGAAGCCCCAGGCUCCUGGAAGAGGAGCCCUGACGAGGCUUGUCCAAGCGGAUCAACAAGCCGACUCGCCAGUUAACGUUAAUUCCCGCCCUUCGUUGCGUUAGGCCCAGGCCCAGACCCUGGAAGGUAACGUCGGGAGGCUUGGUUUUCCCGGGGUCUUUAUUUGCCUCAAAUCCAAGGGAGCAGGAGAAAGGGACUCCUGAGAGUUCCGGAAACAAUGAAAAUGCCUGGCGCCUUGGAGGACACGGAACUCCUGUCUCCAAGGAAGAGAACCUUGAGGGGACGCUAGGUCAGGCGCCCAAGUUGCAGGUACAGUCUUUCACAGGUGUUAGGUCCCUAGGGGAGUUGGCAGAGGGAAGCUUUGGGGGGAACUUACAGCAACAGGGUUCACCAAAAUUUACCCGAGGUGCUGCCCAAGAAAAGACAAUGGCUUCCUAUGGCCAAUACCCACCGUAAACUCAACUUUUCUGCAAAAGUCUAUUUGGGAGCAGAAUGAGCUAAAUACCUAGGUGGGUAUUUACUUCCAGUGGUAUAUACUUCCACUGCUCUUUCUGGAAGAAUAUGUGAAGAGUUUCUGUGCAAAUGCCUUUUAAAAAGCUGACCAAGAUUCUCCUGGUGGCACUGGAGAGGCUAGCAAAAGAAGUCAAGAUUUGGGGAAGUCACAAUGCUUCCCAACCAUCCUCAUGACACAAGUGGAAAAUAGUAAUAUUUGUAUGGCACACUGGAUUGUACAUAUUAGGGAGUAAGUUGAGCUGAUAUAAUAAAG